GAUGAACGCUGGCGGCAGGCCUAACACAUGCAAGUCGAACGGCAGCACAGAAGAGCUUGCUCUUUGGGUGGCGAGUGGCGGACGGGUGAGUAAUGUCUGGGAAACUGCCCGAUGGAGGGGGAUAACUACUGGAAACGGUAGCUAAUACCGCAUAACGUCGCAAGACCAAAGUGGGGGACCUUCGGGCCUCACACCAUCGGAUGUGCCCAGAUGGGAUUAGCUAGUAGGUGGGGUAAUGGCUCACCUAGGCGACGAUCCCUAGCUGGUCUGAGAGGAUGCCCAGCCACACUGGAACUGAGACACGGUCCAGACUCCUACGGGAGGCAGCAGUGGGGAAUAUUGCACAAUGGGCGCAAGCCUGAUGCAGCCAUGCCGCGUGUAUGAAGAAGGCCUUCGGGUUGAAAAGUACUUUCAGCGGGGAGGAAGGCGGUGAGGUUAAUAACCUUGCCGAUUGACGUUACCCGCAGAAGAAGCACCGGCUAACUCCGUGCCAGCCGCCGCCGUAA
rnacentral:rRNA from 1 species